GGGGCUGUUUCAGUUUCGAUUGCGUUAGGAGAACGAAGUAAGCAUACCAAAGGCUCGGCUUUGUAAAAACGGAAAAUUAAAUUUAAACGCAGAAUCUAAGAAUUCUAAAGUUGUAGCUUUCCCCACCUUCGGUGCUCAGAGCUACGCUUGCGCUGCUUAACUUAUAAGCAGUCCGUCGCCCUCAAUUCUGUCGCAGGUUGAGAAGCGGCGUCUUUUAUGCGGCACUUUUGCGGAACUCUGAUUGUCGGUCCGCAGAUGUAUAAGGCAAUCUGCCCGUCGCGUAAGCCCGUCGGUCGGCGUGCGCGGCAGAAAGAUUUAAUGGCUGAAUAAGUAUGUAGAAAGCUCGCUUGAAUACCGUAAGACCGGGGUGCAAGUCCCCGCAGCUCCACCA
rnacentral:tmRNA from 1 species